rnacentral:tRNA from 1 species
GGAUUGUGGCUCAGUGACAGAGCACUUGCCUCACACAUAUGAGGUACUGGGUUCAAUCCUCAGCGCCA